rnacentral:rRNA from 1 species
AUUGAACGCUGGCGGCAGGCUUAACACAUGCAAGUCGAGCGGAGAUGAGGUGCUUGCACCUUAUCUUAGCGGCGGACGGGUGAGUAAUGCUUAGGAAUCUGCCUAUUAGUGGGGGACAACAUUCCGAAAAGGAUGCUAAUACCGCAUACGUCCUACGGGAGAAAGCAGGGGAUCUUCGGACCUUGCGCUAAUAGAUGAGCCUAAGUCGGAUUAGCUAGUUGGUGGGGUAAAGGCCUACCAAGGCGACGAUCUGUAGCGGGUCUGAGAGGAUGAUCCGCCACACUGGGACUGAGACACGGCCCAGACUCCUACGGGAGGCAGCAGUGGGGAAUAUUGGACAAUGGGGGGAACCCUGAUCCAGCCAUGCCGCGUGUGUGAAGAAGGCCUUAUGGUUGUAAAGCACUUUAAGCGAGGAGGAGGCUGCUGAGACUAAUACUCUUGGAUAGUGGACGUUACUCGCAGAAUAAGCACCGGCUAACUCUGUGCCAGCCGCCGCAGUAACAC